rnacentral:rRNA from 1 species
AUGGUUGAAGGCUCUACUCAGGACGUGGCUAACCUGAAGUUCCUCCUCCUGUGCUUCCAGCAGAUGUCGGGCCUAACGAUCAACUUCGAUAAGAGUGAAGUGAUGGUUCUUGGCUACCCUCCGGUGGAAGCUCAGGCUAUUGCUGACCGACUUAACUGUCGGCUGGAUUCUUUCCCCACGACCUAUCUGGGGAUCCCCAUUAGUGAUUCGCGCCUCACCGUGGCGGACCUCCGCCCCACGGUGACCCAUAUGCAGCAUCGCGUCGAGCCUUGGAAAGGGCGCUGGUUAUCGAAGGCUGCACGUGUGAUUCUCAUCAACUCCUCACUCGCCAGCCUUCUUUGGUUCCUCAUGAGCUUUUAUAGCCUCCAUGAAACGCUGCACAAGGAAAUCGCCAAGUACCAAUCCAGAUUCUAUUGGGCUGGCGAGGAUGACAAACAGAAGUACCAUAUGGUCAGUUGGCCAGACAUAUGUAAACCCAAGGACCAGGAGGGUCUAGGGAUUUUGUCCUCUCGACGCAUGAUCAUCGCCCUCCUGACCCGGUGGCUAUGGCGUAUUGCUAAUGGCGAAGGAGGUCUAUGGCUC